GCUACGGAAGGAUCUGAGCUAUGAUGAGGCGCCGUUGAGGAUUUUGGCACGUGAGAUGAAGCAACUACGGAAGAGGAGCAUUUCGUAUGUAAAAGUUCAGUGGGCAAAUCAUGAGGAGCGUGAGGCUACAUGGGAGCUUGAGUCUUCUAUGCGGGAGAGUUAUCCGCAGUUGUUUACGGGGGAUGUUUAAUUUAAGUUUCGGGGACGAAACUUCUUGUAAGGGGGGAAUGAUGUAAUAACCGAAAUUUUUGGAAAAUAAAAUUAAACCCUUGGUUGACGAUGUUUUUGUGUGUAAUAUAAUUACUAAAGCACUCGUCAAAUUUUAGGAGAAAAUGAG
rnacentral:lncRNA from 1 species